AAGUCGUAACAAGGUCUCCGUAGGUGAACCUGCGGAGGGAUCAUCUAAGUAUAUGCACCAAGGCGAUACCGUUCAUUAGGACGUAUUGACCGAGGAUGCUAAUAACAAAGAAUUGAUGUAGGGUCGGUGAUAGCAGUAAUGUUGUCCCGACCGUGACCAAUGUGGCCGUGGUGGGAAUAUGGGGAGAUCGUGUAUGCGAGAUCCACCCUGCCCGGCCAACGUGUCGAUGACGCACCAUGUGUGGCUGGAUGAAGCGAGGGGUUCUGCGAUGAUGGUGUAAUACGUCCCGCAAGAAAAGCCCUAGCACAAUCAUGGACCGCACGGCACCGUGUAGAUGGCUUCGGCUACCGCGGUAGCCUAAAUGUGCAUAAAACUUUUGGCAAUGGAUCUCUUGGUUCUC
rnacentral:misc_RNA from 1 species